rnacentral:tRNA from 3 species
UGCGGGGUGGAGCAGGGGUAGCUCGUUGGGCUCAUAACCCAAAGGUCGUUGGUUCGAAUCCAGCCCCCGCUA